rnacentral:lncRNA from 1 species
CCCCAUGCUUUUAUCUUCUUCACCCCAUUACUGUCAUCUUCUUCACUCCAUUAUUGAUGUCACCUUCUUCACACCCAUUUCUUGAUUUUAAAGCACUAUAAAACCUAUAAAGAGAGCAAUUUCCAUAACUUAAUAAAUAUUCUUCCUCUCCGUCUUCUUCGAUAAUCACUGUUACUGUCGAUUACUCCGCUUGAUCACUAUUCGAGAGCCAAAUGAAAUUUAUUUUCAUAAGGUAAAAUUUAAGACAAAUUCUACCAUUCCUCAACUCAAUUUUUCACCUUUUUCCGCAAAUUAAAACCUCUUGAAAAUUUCAUCGAAUACCUUAUAUGCACUCUUUUUGCACUCUCAAGAUCGUUGCUUUUCAUCCUUUUCUCCGUCUCUGUAAAGUAAGCUCAACAGAAACUUAUCAACACAAAACCCAAAUCAUGUGGCAACAAAUAAUAUAAACAAAUUGCAACAAAUCGAACUAUGCCUUUGCAACAGAGUUAUCCACAAAUAAAUUUAGCAACAAGUCAAAUUAUGCCACGCCCAAAUC